GUUAAUGUAGUAAAAAGAUUAUGUUGUCUUGAUAUGGCAAAGUUCUCGGGUUUGAGUUUUA
rnacentral:tRNA from 1 species